rnacentral:misc_RNA from 2 species
AUGAAGUCUGGGCUUCGGCCCUCUCUCUUCUACACACUUGUGAACUUACACCGUUGCUUUGGCAGGUUUCCGGAGGGGCGUGAGCCCUGAAGGUCAGGUCGGAAGACGCCUGCCGAAGACACUUAUCCACCCUUUUUUAUUGUCUGAAUCUUGUUUAUAACAAAUAAAAUA